rnacentral:rRNA from 1 species
UUACAAUGGAGAGUUUGAUCCUGGCUCAGGAUGAACGCUAGCUACAGGCUUAACACAUGCAAGUCGAGGGGAAACGAUAUUGGAAGCUUGCUUCCGAUAGGCGUCGACCGGCGCACGGGUGAGUAACGCGUAUCCAACCUGCCCACCACUUGGGGAUAACCUUGCGAAAGUAAGACUAAUACCCAAUGACGUCUCUAGAAGACAUCUGAAAGAGAUUAAAGAUUUAUCGGUGAUGGAUGGGGAUGCGUCUGAUUAGCUUGUUGGCGGGGUAACGGCCCACCAAGGCAACGAUCAGUAGGGGUUCUGAGAGGAAGGUCCCCCACAUUGGAACUGAGACACGGUCCAAACUCCUACGGGAGGCAGCAGUGAGGAAUAUUGGUCAAUGGGCGAGAGCCU